CGUGCACUAAUAAUACUGACUAACCGUGUAAUAGUAAAGUGACUGUUUCGGGGCAUGAAGCCGCCCUACCGUCGGCCCUAUUCAGACGUGGCGCAUGACGUGGUGAUUAUUGUGGUGCAGCCACAGCCUGAGGAGAACACUCCAUCCGCAGAUGUCCAAUGACUAGGACUCUGUAGGAGGGGCGUUCCGUGUUCUUGUUUUGCAAAGACUUUAAGCCAACAUGCCCUUGAACUAGGUUUUUCAGGCUUAAACAGAGCACUGAUUCCAAUCCUAUUUUGGGAGAAGCAACAAGGUGGUGAACAAGAAGAAUUCUGGGACAGAGGCAGAACCCCACUGAACUAUCGGGAUGUGACACGGGAAUGUCAGCUCCCAGCAGGCCAGCAGGGAGAAGGGAGGGGUCUGAAAAAUAAUCAUAUAAAUACCAGAAAUUCCGGCAAGAGGAUAACCGUGACACAUCUUCAACUUCGUCUCCGGGCCUGAAGGACAUAGCUUGCUGACCUUGACCAACCCAACUGGACCUGGCCUCUGUUAACACUCCAGGGGAACAGAAGAAUCACCAGGCCCUGUCCAAAUUCCUAACCUGCAACCUCAUGGCUUAGCAUAAAAUAGUUUGUAUUAAGUCAUAAAAUUGUAGACAGCUUUUUAUACAGCGAUAGAUAAGUGAAAUUUUAAAAAGAGUUAGUAUCUCUUCCCCCUCAGGCUCCAAAAUAAAGGGAAGGG